rnacentral:rRNA from 1 species
AAGCAUAUCAAUAAGCGGAGGAAAAGAAACCAACAGGGAUUGCCUCAGUAGCGGCGAGUGAAGCGGCAAGAGCUCAGAUUUGAAAUCUCACCUAGUGUGCGAGUUGUAAAUUGCAGGUUGGAGUCUCGGGUUAGACGUGUGUGCAAGUCCCUUGGAACAGGGUGCCACUGAGGGUGAGAGCCCCGUAUCGUGCAUGUCGACACCUGUGAGGCCCUUCUGACGAGUCGAGUUGUUUGGGAAUGCAGCUCUAAGUGGGUGGUAAAUUCCAUCUAAGGCUAAAUAUUGGCGAGAGACCGAUAGCGAACAAGUACUGUGAAGGAAAGAUGAAAAGCACUUUGAAAAGAGAGUGAAACAGCACGUGAAAUUGUUGAAAGGGAAGGGUAUUGGGCUCGACAUGGGAUUUACGCAUCGUUGCCUCUCGUGGGCGGCGCUCUGGGUUUUUCCUGGGCCAGCAUCGGUUUUCGUUGCAGGAUAAGGACAAUUGGAAUGUGGCUCCUCGGAGUGUUAUAGCCUUUUGUAGAUGCUGCGUAUGGGGACCGAGGGCUGCGGCGGACUCGUUUCGUCUCGGAUGCUGGCACAACGGCGCAAUACCGCCCGUCUUGAAACAUGGACCAAGGAGU